UACAACAAGGCCAUCCCUCUGUGGGGACACUGCGGUAGGCUAACACGUAUUACCAUUGCGCAAUCCCUGGAAAAACACAUUGUUUAGUCAGCCCCCCUUUUCAGGCUGUUUUUGGCAUAGGGUCGUCUGAGUUUCAGAGGUACUCAGAAUUGGCCCUGCCACAUUGAGAGAAGAUACAGAGGGAGAGAAGAGGUGGGGGGAGAGGGAGAGAGGGGGGCUAAUGUGAAUGCGCCUCUGUCUCUGAGGGAAUACACAAUGGGACCUUGACGCCCAGGCACACACGAGGUGUUGCUCGUCUCCAGGGUAUGAAGUACCUGCACCACAAAGACUUCCCCCAUGGCAGACUGAAGUCUCGGAACUGUGUGGUGGACGGACGCUUUGUUCUGAAGAUUACCGACUACGGCUUUAAUGAACUGCUGGAGUCCCAGAAGAGUCCCAAAGAACAAUGGACACCUGAAGAGUUAUUCUGGACAGCCCCAGAGUUCCUCAGGGACCCCGAAAGCUCACGCAGAGGGACCUUCAAGGGGGACGUGUACAGCUUCGCCAUUAUACUCCAAGAGGUGGUGGUCCGAGGACUCCCCUACUGCAUGCUGGGGCUCCCUCCAGAGGUAUGCCCUUUACAAAGUGAUGGAUGCACCCUUUGACUUCACUGUUCCAUGGCAAACUCUUUGCCCACUGGACCGACGCAUCUAAGGCUCUUCUUCGGGGUGAGGUGCCACCAGUUUUUAAACUGAAGAAGAGAAGGCGAGAUGACAUUCAUGAGGGGCCACUUGACAACAUCGUGGCUGGAGUUGCCUGGCUGCGUCAGAAUGCAGGUUUGCUCAGGGGGAAGGUGGUCGAGCCCUCGUUUCAGAAUAUGGACGCAACAGAACAGCAGGAGCUCCUGGAAAGGAUACGUUUUUCAAAUGAUGAAGAAAAGUAUCCCCUGCUCUUCACCUUUUGAUUUUCAGGAAGGCAUGGAGGCCUUCCUUAACAUGGCAGCUGAGGAGGAUCUUCGAGUCAACGCCAUGUUUUAUUUUCCGAUUUUUAUUUUUUAUUUUCCGAUUUCCGGUGUGCUGGUGGAUGUUUCUGUGCGUGGAUGUCUGCAGCGGAAGUGCGUGUGGGUGGAUGUCUGGACGAGCGUGUGGAUGGAUGUCUGCAGCCAUUUUGUGUCUUGGCAGUGUAGACGGAAACGCUACGGCGGAGCGUAUUCAAGUAUUCCACUCUGGAGGGUGGUUUCAGAUUUUUGCGUUUUUAAGCCCCAAAAACGCUGUCACCGUCUAAACGAAAGGCACUUCCGAUAAAAUAUUUGGUAUUUUUUCCCCUGCUAGCGUCCUCGUGUAAACGGGGCCUUAGGGUGCUGGCAUGUGGUCAGACCAAACACAGAGUUGGGAUUAGAAAAACCCAACACACUAGUUUUAGCAACAUUGUAAUUCAUGUUGGGACCAACGAUACUAGGAUAAGAAAAUCCAAAGUCACACAAAAAGCAACAUAGUUACUGGCCCUCUACCAGUCAGGGGUAAACACACCUAAUUCGAAUUACUUUUUUGCGAACUUUCUAAAGAUUUGCAUCACCUUUUAGAUGGAAACAAAGCUAGUCUCUAAACAUUCACAGUUUUCUGUCUAUUACAGAUCCAUUAGGCCUCACACAGCUCGUCCAGAAUGCUACAGAUAUCGGUGGAAACACGCUGGACCUUGUCUUGACCCACGAAGUUGACAUUUCAGACCAGGUUGAGUCUCACCCUAUACCUCAUAUUUAUCUGACCACUUUCUGCUCACUUUCCAGGUAGUGUAGCCCGCACCUGUGAUGACCAUCAUCAUAUCACCCCUGCAACCACUACAGCUAUGCCAGAUAGGAUGCACUUGAUCCAUUUUGUAACUUUGGGCUCUGUGGACAGUCUCAGUGAUUUUAGCAUUGCUUUAUCUACAGCCAUCGACUCCUCUUUGUCCUUUUGUAAUUAAAAACAGUCGAGGAAAAAAACAGCACCCUAGUUUAAUGAAAACACUCGCACAAUGAAGCGAAGCUGCAGAAUACUAAACGCAAAUGGUGCUCAACCAAAGUUUAUGUAUUUUAUCUUGCAUGCCAUGACAGCGAUGUAAGAUAAAAUGUCUUAUUUUUGACACUGUAAACUAAAGAGUCGGAUGCAAAAACGGACUCUCAAAGGUUUUUCAAGGUACUCAAAACAAACUGGGACCGGCUACGAUCACCAACACGAACCUUUACUUGUCUACUGGACCUGUGCCCUCUAGCUUUAAGACUGACAACUUAAAGGUUGGGUAUGGGAUUUGCGAAAACGCCAACAGAUUUUGAAAAUACACAACUCAAAUGGUCCUACCCCCUCUCCUUCAACGCUGACUCCGACACCACCCAUUCCAAGUACAUGGACGCGCAAUCAUGCACGAGCGCGAACACAGAUGCAUGAGAGCGAGCCAUUAGCUGGUUAGCAAGCUCCAGUAGCUA